rnacentral:rRNA from 1 species
AACGAACGCUGGCGGCAUGCCUAACACAUGCAAGUCGAACGAGACCUUCGGGUCUAGUGGCGCACGGGUGCGUAACGCGUGGGAACCUGCCCUUAGGUUCGGAAUAACUCCCCGAAAGGGGUGCUAAUACCGGAUAAUGUCUUCGGACCAAAGAUUUAUCGCCUUUGGGUGGGCCCGCGUUGGAUUAGCUAGUUGGUAGGGUAAAAGCCUACCAAGGCGACGAUCCAUAGCUGGUCUGAGAGGAUGAUCAGCCACACUGGGACUGAGACACGGCCCAGACUCCUACGGGAGGCAGCAGUGGGGAAUAUUGGACAAGGGGCGAAAGCCUGAUCCAGCAAUGCCGCGUGAGUGAUGAAGGCCUUAGGGUUGUAAAGCUCUUUUACCCGGGAUGAUAAUGACAGUACCGGGAGAAUAAGCUCCGGCUAACUCCAUG